GACGAACGCUGGCGGCGUGCUUAACACAUGCAAGUCGAACGGAAAGGCCCUGCUCUUGUGGGGUGCUCGUGUGGCGAACGGGUGAGUAAAACGUGUGUAACCCGCCCUUGACUUUGUGAUAACUUCAGGAAACAGGGGCUCAUACCGCAUAGGAUCUCCUGCUGCAUGGUGGGGGUUGGAAAGUUUCGGCGGUUGGGGAUGGACUCGCGGCUUCUCAGCUUCUUGGUGUGGUAGUGGCUUUCCAAGGCUUUGACGGGUAGCCGGCCUGAGAGGGUGACCGGCGACAAGGGGACUGCGAGACGGACCAGAAGGCUACGGGAGGCAGCAGUGGGGAAUAUUGCACAAUGGGGGGAAGCGUGAUGCAGCAACGCCGCGUGCGGGAUGACGGCCUUCGGGUUGUAAACCGCUUUCGCCUGUGACGAAGCGUGAGUGACGGUAAUGGGUAAGGAAGCACCGGCUAACUACGUG
rnacentral:rRNA from 1 species